AUUGAACGCUGGCGGCAGGCCUAACACAUGCAAGUCGAGCGGAUGAAGGGAGCUUGCUCCUGGAUUCAGCGGCGGACGGGUGAGUAAUGCCUAGGAAUCUGCCUGGUAGUGGGGGAUAACAUCCGGAAACGGGCGCUAAUACCGCAUACGUCCUGAGGGAGAAAGUGGGGGAUCUUCGGACCUCACGCUAUCAGAUGAGCCUAGGUCGGAUUAGCUAGUUGGUGGGGUAAAGGCCUACCAAGGCGACGAUCCGUAACUGGUCUGAGAGGAUGAUCAGUCACACUGGAACUGAGACACGGUCCAGACUCCUACGGGAGGCAGCAGUGGGGAAUAUUGGACAAUGGGCGAAAGCCUGAUCCAGCCAUGCCGCGUGUGUGAAGAAGGUCUUCGGAUUGUAAAGCACUUUAAGUUGGGAGGAAGGGCAGUAAGUUAAUACCUUGCUGUUUUGACGUUACCAACGGAAUAAGCACCGGCUAACUUCGUG
rnacentral:rRNA from 1 species